rnacentral:rRNA from 1 species
UAGGGAAUCUUCGGCAAUGGGGGCAACCCUGACCGAGCAACGCCGCGUGAGUGAAGAAGGUUUUCGGAUCGUAAAGCUCUGUUGUAAGUCAAGAACGGGUGUGAGAGUGGAAAGUUCACACUGUGACGGUAGCUUACCAGAAAGGGACGGCUAACUACGUGCCAGCAGCCGCGGUAAUACGUAGGUCCCGAGCGUUGUCCGGAUUUAUUGGGCGUAAAGCGAGCGCAGGCGGUUUGAUAAGUCUGAAGUUAAAGGCUGUGGCUCAACCAUAGUUCGCCUUGGAAACUGUCAAACGUGAGUGCAGAAGGGGAGAGUGGAAUUCCAUGUGUAGCGGUGAAAUGCGUAGAUAUAUGGAGGAACACCGGUGGCGAAAGCGGCUCUCUGGUCUGUAACUGACGCUGAGGCUCGAAAGCGUGGGGAGCGAACAGG